rnacentral:tRNA from 1 species
AAGGGAGACCUAAUUCGGGUAUAAGACGAAAAAAGAGUAGUCGAAGCCAAGAAUCAAUCCCAAAAGGUCGGAACGAGGUAUGUGGCUUUCAAACUAGGUUCUGGGUUCACACAAGACCUGAAUCAGGAACAAGGGCUAUUAGCUCAGGUGGUUAGAGCGCACCCCUGAUAAGGGUGAGGUCCCUGGUUCGAGUCCAGGAUGGCCCACCUGCACAGGUGGCAAAAACAAAGAAGCGAGGAAUCAGCACCUUAUCUUAUCUAUAUAUAAGAGAGAAUGCUGGCUCUGAGUAAAGAGUCCAGAGGAACCUUGAAAACUGCAUAGAGCCAGGUGAAAAAGCCAAAAAAGAAGACCGCAA